rnacentral:rRNA from 1 species
GAUGAACGCUGGCGGCGUGCCUAACACAUGCAAGUCGAACGAAGCACUUCGAUUUCCUCGGAAUGAAAAAGUGACUGAGUGGCGGACGGGUGAGUAACGCGUGGGUAACCUGCCUCAUACAGGGGGAUAACAGUUGGAAACGACUGCUAAUACCGCAUAACACAUCGAGGGGGCAUCCCCAUGAUGUCAAAGAUUUAUCGCUGAAAGAUGGGCUCGCGUCUGAUUAGCUAGUUGGUGGGGUAACGGCCUACCAAGGCGACGAUCAGUAGCCGGACUGAGAGGUUGAACGGCCACAUUGGGACUGAGAUACGGCCCAGACUCCUACGGGAGGCAGCAGUGGGGAAUAUUGGGGCAAUGGGGGCAACCCUGACCCAGCAACGCCGCGUGAAGGAAGAAGGCUUUCGGGUUGUAAACUUCUUUUACCAGGGACGAAGACGUGACGGUACCUGGAGAAAAAGCCACGGCUAACUACGUG